rnacentral:rRNA from 1 species
GACGAACGCUGGCGGCGUGCUUAACACAUGCAAGUCGAACGGAAAGGCCCCUUUGGGGGUGCUCGAUUGGCGAACGGGUGAGUAACACGUGAGUAACCUGCCCUUGACUUCGGGUGAACUUCAGGAAACUGGGGCUAAUACCUGAUAGGAAUCCUUGCUGCAUGGUGGGGGUUGGAAAGCUUCGGCGGUUUUGGAUGGACUCGCGGCUUAUCAGCUUGUUGGUGGGGUAGUGGCUUACCAAGGCUUUGACGGGUAGCCGGCCUGAGAGGGCGACCGGCCACAUUGGGACUGAGAUACGGCCCAGACUCCUACGGGAGGCAGCAGUGGGGAAUAUUGCACAAUGGGCGGAAGCCUGAUGCAGCAACGCCGCGUGCGGGAUGACGGCCUUCGGGUUGUAAACCGCUUUCAGCAGGGGCGAAGCUUGUGGUGACGGUACCUGCAGAAGAAGCACCGGCUAACUACGUG